CCUACGGGUGGCUGCAGUGGGGAAUAUUGGACAAUGGGCGAAAGCCUGAUCCAGCCAUGCCGCGUGUGUGAAGAAGGCCUUCGGGUUGUAAAGCACUCUCAGUGGGGAAGAAAGCCUUGGGGCUAAUACCCUCGAGGAAGGACAUCACCCACAGAAGAAGCACCGGCUAACUCCGUGCCAGCAGCCGCGGUAAUACGGAGGGUGCGGGCGUUAAUCGGAAUUACUGGGCGUAAAGCGCGCGUAGGCGGUCUGAUAAGCCGGUUGUGAAAGCCCCGGGCUCAACCUGGGAACGGCAUCCGGAACUGUCAGGCUAGGGUGCAGGCGAGGAAGACAGAAUUCCCGGUGUAGCGGUGAAAUGCGUAGAGAUCGGGAGGAAUACCAGUGGCGAAGGCGGCCUUCUGGACUGACACUGACGCUGAGGUGCGAAAGCGUGGGUAGCAAACAGGAUUAGAUACCCAUAGUC
rnacentral:rRNA from 1 species